UGAGGAAUAUUGCACAAUGGGCGCAAGCCUGAUGCAGCGACGCCGCGUGGGUGAUGAAGGUCUUCGGAUCGUAAAGCCCUUUUUCUGCGUGACGAGACAGGACGGUAGCGCAGGAAUAAGUCUCGGCUAACUACGUGCCAGCAGCCGCGGUAAAACGUAGGAGACGAACGUUAUCCGGAGUUACUGGGCGUAAAGGGCGUAUAGGCGGUUUGUUAAGUCUGGCGUGAAAGCUCUCGGCUAAACCGGGAGAGGUCGUUGGAUACUGGCGAACUAGAGGAUGGUAGAGGCGUGUGGAAUUCCGGGUGUAGUGGUGAAAUGCGUAGAGAUCCGGAGGAACACCAGUGGCGAAGGCGACACGCUGGGCCAUACCUGACGCUAAAGCGCGACAGCAUGGGGAGCAAACGGGAUUAGAUACCCACGUAGUCCCUGAGCGGGCUGGCAAGGCGCAU
rnacentral:rRNA from 1 species